GAUGAACGCUGGCGGCGUGCCUAAUACAUGCAAGUCGAGCGCCCCUUUAAGAGGUGAGAAUCGCAAGAUUGUCUCUUCCUAUGGGGAGCGGCGGACGGCUGAGUAACGCGUGGGAACCUGCCCCAAAGUGAGGGAUAACGCACCGAAAGGUGUGCUAAUACCGCAUAUGAUCUUCGGAUUAAAGCUUUAUGCCCUUUGGGAGGGGCCUGCGUCCUAUUAGAUAGUUGGUGAGGUAAAGGCUCACCAAGUCAACGAUGGGUAGCUGGUCUGAGAGGAUGACCAGCCAGACUGGAACUGAGACACGGUCCAGACUCCUACGGGAGGCAGCAGUAGGGAAUCUUCCGCAAUGGACGAAAGUCUGACGGAGCAACGCCGCGUGAGCGAUGAAGGCCUUCGGGUCGUAAAGCUCUGUUGUUAGGGAAGAACAAGUAUCGGAGUAACUGCCGGUACCUUGACGGUACCUAACCAGAAAGCCACGGCUAACUACGUGCCAGCAGCAGCCGCGGUAA
rnacentral:rRNA from 1 species